rnacentral:rRNA from 1 species
CCUACGGGGAGGCAGCAGUAGGGAAUCUUCGGCAAUGGGGGCAACCCUGACCGAGCAACGCCGCGUGAGUGAAGAAGGUUUUCGGAUCGUAAAGCUCUGUUGUAAGUCAAGAACGAGUGUGAGAGUGGAAAGUUCACACUGUGACGGUAGCUUACCAGAAAGGGACGGCUAACUACGUGC